rnacentral:tRNA from 5 species
GCCCUGAUGCUGGAAUCGGUAGACAGGCACGCUUCAGGAGCGUGUGCUUUCACGAGCGUGGGGGUUCAACUCCCUCUCAGGGCACCG